AUUGAACGCUGGCGGCAGGCCUAACACAUGCAAGUCGAGCGAGCGGCGGACGGGUGAGUAAUGUAUGGGGACUGCCCGAUCGAGGGGGAUAACUCCUGGAAACGGUAGCUAAUACCGCAUACUAUAGGAUAACCCAUAUGGGAUUAGCUAGUAGGUGAGGUAAUGGCUCACCUAGGCGACGAUCCCUAGCUGGUCUGAGAGGAUGAUCAUCCACACUGGGACUGAGACACGGCCCAGACUCCGACCAUGUCAUCAGGUUAAAAUAUUGCACAAUGGGCGCAAGCCUGAUCCAGCCAUGCCGCGUGUAUGAAGAAGGCCCUAGGGUUGUAAAGUACUUUCAGUCGGGAGGCGUUACCGACAGAAGAAGCACCGGCUAACUCCGUGCCAGCAGCCGCGGUAAUAC
rnacentral:rRNA from 1 species